rnacentral:lncRNA from 1 species
CUUGCUGAUUGCUCUGAUGGGAGGUGCUACCCCAAGCUUUGCAAGGCUGCCUGCUUCUCAUCAAACACCACCCCCUCAGACAGGCUUCCAUUCACAUCUCUCUAAAGUCAAGAAAAUUACAUCCCUCCCAGAAUGCGAAGAUAUAAACAUGCUCUAAGGAGGUAUGACAGCUAUGCUCAAGAUUCAGGUGCUCAGAUAAUUAGACGAGUCCCAGUUGACCCACUUGUGGUAUACAAAAGAGAAAUACAUUAUUGAUGGUGGAAAAAAAUGUG